GUGACUUCACGGGGUCAAAGGGCACCGUCUCUCUCUCUCUAUAUAUAUAGACGGUGACUUGGAAAGGAAGCCGCGCGGUUUUUACAGCGGUCCCUGGCGGUAGGAGGACUCAAGGCAGCCUCUAUUGCCCAGGUUACAGUUGGAGUUGAAGUGAACAGACAUGGAUUCAACUUCAUGUGUCUGCGUGUGUGUAUGUUUGUGUUUCCGGGCCGAGGGAAGAAGGCAGAGUGUCGAGAGGUUGUGACAUCUGAAGUCAGUUAUCCUCUGGGUAUUUUCAAUGACGUCUUAACCACACGUUGGCAUGCUGGUGUCAGAGCUGCAGCUCCUAAAAGAGCAGACUUUACCUGACUGGCAGAUGGAAAAUGGCGCAUCGUCACGAUCUUGGCUAACUGAGGUGUUGUAGGCGUCCGUCAAGACUGGUGUCAAAACACUUCAUUGUGUGUAAUUAAAAAAAACACACACUGAACCAAUAUUGAGUCUAGUCGCUGACAUGCAUGCUGAACUGUUUAGGGGGUAAAGUCUUCUGAUAUUUGUAACGGAUUGUGAAAUGCGUCGGAAAUAGGCUGGAUUUAGAGAUCUUCAUUUUAGACAGUGGGGAAACAGACACAGAGCUUUUAGGCCACGUGUUAAUGGAGCAAUAUCCCUUACUGAUUUGUAUGUGAAGAGUAGUAUUUGUUAACUUUUUUCUAAUUUCAGAAGAAGUGCAUGUGUAUUGUAAGAAGCCUUCAUUGAAGUGUGGUUGUGAAUGAUGAGGUUGUGUUGGGUGGGAAACCACCUUUCCGUUGUGGGCCUGAGAUACUCUGGUGCUACAAGGGGCUAGAAGUCGGGGGAAGGCGUUACAUAACAAACAUAACAAACAUUCAGCUGCAGAAAUUUGGAAGAUUUUUUUUUUUAAAGAUUUUAUUUAUUUAUUU